rnacentral:rRNA from 1 species
UACGUAGGGACCGAGCGUUGUCCGGAAUCAUUGGGCGUAAAGAGCGUGUAGGCGGCCAAUUAAGUCCUGCAUGAAAUCUCGGGGCUCAACCCCGAGCGGUCGUGGGAAACUGGUUGGCUAGAGUGCGGGAGAGGAGAGUGGAAUUCCUGGCGUAGCGGUGAAAUGCGCAGAUAUCAGGAAGAACACCCGUGGCGAAGGCGGCUCUCUGGAACGCAACUGACGCUGAGACGCGAAAGCGUGGGGAGCAAACAGG